UGAGGAAUAUUGGUCAAUGGGCGGAAGUCUGAACCAGCCAAGUCGCGUGAGGGACGACGGUCCUAUGGAUUGUAAACCUCUUUUGCCGGGGAGCAAAGCCGACCUUGCGAGGUUGGAAGGAGAGUACCCGGAGAAAAGCAUCGGCUAACUCCGUGCC
rnacentral:rRNA from 1 species